GGCUUGUUAGUGUAGUUGGUUAGUACUCCCAUCUCAACAGACCACGAGAGGUCGCCAGAUCGAGCCUGGCACAAGUCA